UCCUACGGGAGGCAGCAGUGGGGAAUUUUGGACAAUGGGCGCAAGCCUGAUCCAGCAAUGCCGCGUGUGUGAAGAAGGCCUUCGGGUUGUAAAGCACUUUUGUCCGGAAAGAAAACAUUCUCACUAAUACUGGGGGUGGAUGACGGUACCGGAAGAAUAAGCACCGGCUAACUACGUGCCAGCAGCCGCGGUAAUACGUAGGGUGCGAGCGUUAAUCGGAAUUACUGGGCGUAAAACGUGCGCAGGCGGUUCGUUAAGACAGAUGUGAAAUCCCCGGGCUUAACCUGGGAACUGCAUUUGUGACUGACGGGCUAGAGUAUGGCAGAGGGGGGUAGAAUUCCACGUGUAGCAGUGAAAUGCGUAGAGAUGUGGAGGAAUACCGAUGGCGAAGGCAGCCCCCUGGGCCAAUACUGACGCUCAUGCACGAAAGCGUGGGGAGCAAACAGGAUUAGAUACCCUGGUAGUCCACGCCCUAAACGAUGUCAACUAGUUGUUGGGGAUUCAUUUCCUUAGUAACGUAGCUAACGCGUGAAGUUGACCGCCUGGGGAGUACGGUCGCAAGAUUAAAACUCAAAUGAAUUGACGGA
rnacentral:rRNA from 1 species